AUUGAACGCUGGCGGCAGGCCUAACACAUGCAAGUCGAACGGUAACAGGAAGCAGCUUGCUGCUUUGCUGACGAGUGGUGGACGGGUGAGUAAUGUCUGGGAAACUGCCCGAUGGAGGGGGAUAACUACUGGAAACGGUAGCUAAUACCGCAUAACGUCGCAAGACCAAAGAGGGGGACCUUAGGGCCUCUUGCCAUCGGAUGUGCCCAGAUGGGAUUAGCUAGUAGGUGGGGUAACGGCUCACCUAGGCGACGAUCCCUAGCUGGUCUGAGAGGAUGACCAGCCACACUGGAACUGAGACACGGUCCAGACUCCUACGGGAGGCAGCAGUGGGGAAUAUUGCACAAUGGGCGCAAGCCUGAUGCAGCCAUGCCGCGUGUAUGAAGAAGGCCUUCGGGUUGUAAAGUACUUUCAGCGGGGAGGAAGGGAGUAAAGUUAAUACCUUUGCUCAUUGACGUUACCCGCAGAAGAAGCACCGGCUAACUCCGUG
rnacentral:rRNA from 1 species